rnacentral:lncRNA from 1 species
GUUGCAGACAGCCCGGCGAACCGCGCAAUGCGCUUCUUCUGCCUGCAGCAGAGAAAAGGAAAGAAAACUCCGCAGGGGCUCCGUUGGCUUCUCCACGAGUGACAACCAUGUUUUCCCAGAUAGAAGACCGGAGCCCUGCUCCUUUGCGAUCCGCCGAGGGCUGCAGAGAGCAUCCUCAUCCAUUUGGGCACCCCUGCCCAGGAAGAGCCCGGCCAUCCCUUUCCGGACUGGAUCCUUAAGAGGUGAAUUUUCUUCCGUGGAUUCCGAUUUGCUCCGUCUGACCAGCCUAGGCAAUCCAGCAUCGCGUGGUACCAGUGCCGCUGGGCACACUGGCUUCACGCCGGCUCCGCCUCACCAGCAAGCGCAUUCCCAGCUUUUUCUGGAGGAAAUUCGCAUUUGAAUUGAUGGACUGAAUAAAGCAGAUUGCAGUCCCCAGUGUGGAUGGGCUUGAUCCAGUCUUCUAAGGACCCAAAUAAAAUAGGUGGAGGAAGCUUGAAUUUUCUGCCUGACUGUGGCGCUGGGACACCCAUCUUCUCCUGCCCUUGAACUGGGACUGACACCAUCAGUGCUCCUGGUUCUCAGACCUUCGGACAGCAGACUUGGGGCCUUCUCGGCCUCCAUUAUUGUAGGAGAAAAUGAGACACUGAGUGGGACUCAGGGAUUGCUCCAGGCCACACAGUCAGCAGGAGGCAAAGCCCAGAUUCAAAUGCAGAUUACUCAGCUCCACAAUCCACAUCCUCACAGGAGGCUGCACUCCUUGCCCAAGCGUCAGACAGGAGCAAAGAGAAAGAAGGCAACCAGCUGGCUACUUUCUUCCCUUCUUGGAUGCCUCCAACAGGGUGAGAAGGACUAAACAAAUGACCAAGUGUCAUCCCAUUUUGGACAUACUUAAAACACCCCAUGGAAUUUUUAUUCUGACUUUCUUCUGCCUGUGUGGCAUUUAUGUUUAAAUAAAAGAGAAUUCAACUCGU